rnacentral:rRNA from 1 species
UACGAAGGGGGCUAGCGUUGUUCGGAAUUACUGGGCGUAAAGCGCGCGUAGGCGGUUUUGCAAGCCAGAGGUGAAAUGCCUGAGCUCAACUCAGGAAUGGCCUUUGGGACUGCGAGGCUUUGAGGACUGGAGAGGUGAGUGGAAUUCCCAGUGUAGAGGUGAAAUUCGUAGAUAUUGGGAAGAAUACCGAUGGCGAAGGCAGCCCCCUGGGAUAACACUGACGCUCAUGCACGAAAGCGUGGGGAGCAAACAGG